rnacentral:SRP_RNA from 1 species
GCCAGGCACGGUGGCUCACACCUGUAAUCCCAGCAGGGAGGCUGAGGCAGGAGAAUCCCUUGAACCCGGGAGGUGGAGGUUGCAGUGAGCUGAGAUUGCGCCACUGCACUCCAGCCUGGGUGACAGAGGGAGAGUCCUUCUCNNNNNNNNNNAGAAGGACUCUCCCUCUGUCACCCAGGCUGGAGUGCAGUGGCGCAAUCUCAGCUCACUGCAACCUCCACCUCCCGGGUUCAAGGGAUUCUCCUGCCUCAG